AGUCAUAUGAUUGUCUCAAAGAUUAAGCCAUGGAUGUCUAAGUAUAUGCUGUACUAAUCCUAAACUACGAAUGGCUUAUUAAAUCAUUUAUGAUUUGGUUCCUUGAAUUGCACCUUACUACUUGGAUUACUGUGACAGUUCUAGAGCUAAUAUAUGCAGCAGAACUGCAACCUUCGGAGACAUGUGCUUUUGUUAGACCAAAGCCAAUCGCACCUCGUGUCCAUACUAUGUGGCAACGCUGUAUAACUUCGGGAUGAUCGCACUGUCUGGUCCUGGGAACUUGUCUUUCAAGUGACUGUCUUCUGAACUGUUGAUGGACAGUAACGUGUAACGUGCCUACCAUGGAUGCAGUGGGUGAAGGUAAAUCAAGGUUCGAAAUCGGAGAAAGAGCUUAAAAAGCGGCUAUCACCUCCAAGGUAUUCAGUAGGCACGCAUUUUAUCCACGCCCAAUAGGGACAGGAUAUGAUGAAAAGCGAAAUAUGGGAUACUCUUGAGACAUCAUAACUGGAAUGAGUAUAAUCCUUUAACGAGGAUCAAUUGGAGGACACUUUACGUCUUGCCGAAAAUAUAAU
rnacentral:ncRNA from 1 species